UAUGCUGCUUGUUUCUUUUUUUUUUUUUUUUUUUUUUUUCAUAAAUAAGAGACGACAAAAAGAAGAAGAAGGUAACGAUUUGU
rnacentral:sRNA from 1 species